AAUCCAAAUCCUAAAACCCCACGUUGCAGGGUCGAUGGGCGCAUCCGUUAGCCAUUAUUUUUUAAACGGGUAUCGGUCGCCUGAAAUAAAAUAGCUUCCGCGACAGCAGCGGAUCGCGUAGUAAGCGUUUUUUACGGAAUGCAUCUCGCGAUUAAGCAGUGGCGGUAGGUUAAAGCAUUUGUUAGGGACGCAACUUCCGUUGCGUUUCCUAACACUUUUUG
rnacentral:misc_RNA from 1 species